rnacentral:rRNA from 1 species
UACGGAGGGUGCGAGCGUUGUCCGGAAUCACUGGGCGUAAAGGGUGCGUAGGCGGGCAGGUAAGUCAGUGGUGAAAUCUCCGGGCUUAACCCGGAAACUGCCGUUGAUACUAUCUGUCUUGAAUAUCGUGGAGGUAAGCGGAAUAUGUCAUGUAGCGGUGAAAUGCUUAGAUAUGACAUAGAACACCCAUUGCGAAGGCAGCUUACUACACGAUCAUUGACGCUGAGGCACGAAAGCGUGGGGAGCAAACAGG